GACGAACGCUGGCGGCGUGCUUAACACAUGCAAGUCGAACGAAGAGCGAUGGAAGCUUGCUUCUAUCAAUCUUAGUGGCGAACGGGUGAGUAACGCGUAAUCAACCUGCCCUUCAGAGGGGGACAACAGUUGGAAACGACUGCUAAUACCGCAUACGAUCCAAUCUCGGCAUCGGGACUGGAUGAAAGGUGGCCUCUAUUUAUAAGCUAUCACUGCAGGAGGGGAUUGCGUCUGAUUAGCUAGUUGGAGGGGUAACGGCCCACCAAGGCGAUGAUCAGUAGCCGGUCUGAGAGGAUGAACGGCCACAUUGGGACUGAGACACGGCCCAGACUCCUACGGGAGGCAGCAGUGGGGAAUCUUCCGCAAUGGACGAAAGUCUGACGGAGCAACGCCGCGUGAGUGAUGACGGCCUUCGGGUUGUAAAGCUCUGUUAAUCGGGACGAAUGGUUCUUGUGCGAAUAGUGCGAGGAUUUGACGGUACCGGAAUAGAAAGCCACGGCUAACUACGUG
rnacentral:rRNA from 1 species